UGGGGAAUUUUGGACAAUGGGCGAAAGCCUGAUCCAGCCAUGCCGCGUGCGGGAAGAAGGCCUUCGGGUUGUAAACCGCUUUAGUCCGGGAAAAAGGGCUGACGUGCUAAUACCGCGUUGGUUUGAUGGUACUGGAAGAAUAAGCACCGGCUAACUACGUGCCAGCAGCCGCGGUAAUACGUAGGGUGCGAGCGUUAAUCGGAAUUACUGGGCGUGAAGCGUGCGCAGGCGGUCUUGUAAGACAGUCGUGAAAGCCCCGGGCUUAACCUGGGAACGGCGAUUGUGACUGCUAAGCUAGAGUAUGGCAGAGGGGGGUGGAAUUCCACGUGUAGAAGUGAAAUGCGUAGAUAUGUGGAGGAACACCAAUGGCGAAGGCAGCCCCCUGGGACGAUACUGACGCUGAUGCACGAAAGCGUGGGUAGCAAACA
rnacentral:rRNA from 1 species